UACGGAGGGUGCAAGCGUUGUUCGGAAUCACUGGGCGUAAAGCGCGUGUAGGCGGCUAUCUAAGUCUGAUGUGAAAGCCCUGGGCUCAACUCAGGAAGUGCAUUGGAUACUGGAUAGCUGGAGUACCGGAGAGGAGGGUGGAAUUCCUGGUGUAGCGGUGAAAUGCGUAGAUAUCGAGAGGAACACCUGCGGCGAAGGCGGGUUGCUGGGCUGACACUGACGCUGAGGCGCGAAAGCUAGGGGAGCGAACGGG
rnacentral:rRNA from 1 species